rnacentral:rRNA from 1 species
AUACGGAGGACGCGAGCGUUAUCCGGAUUCAUUGGGUUUAAAGGGUGCGCAGGCGGCCGUGCAAGUCAGCGGUGAAAGCCCGGGGCUCAACCCCGGAAGUGCCGUUGAUACUGCAUGGCUGGAAUGCGGUCGAGGCGGGCGGGACGUGGCGUGUUGGGGGGAAAAGCGUAGAUAUGCCACAGAACGCCGUUAGCGGAGGCAGAUCGCCAGGCCUGCAUUGACGCUCGGGCACGAAAGCGUGGGGAGCGAACAGGAUUAGAUACCCUGGUAGUCCACGCCGUAAACGAUGGGCGCUCGUCGUCGGCGGCAGACAGUCGGCGGCCAAGCGAAAGCGAUAAGCGCCCCACCUGGGGAGUACGGUCGCAAGGCUGAAACUCAAAUGAAUUGACGGGG